CGGCGGACGGGUGAGUAACACGUGGGUAACCUACCUAUAAGACUGGGACAACUUCGGGAAACCGGAGCUAAUACCGGAUAAGAUAUCGAACCGCAUGGUUCGAUAGUGAAAGAUGGUUUUGCUAUCACUUAUAGAUGGACCCGCGCCGUAUUAGCUAGUUGGUGAGGUAACGGCUCACCAAGGCAACGAUACGUAGCCGACCCGAGAGGGUGAUCGGCCACACUGGAACUGAGACACGGUCCAGACUCCUACGGGAGGCAGCAGGA
rnacentral:rRNA from 1 species